rnacentral:lncRNA from 1 species
UAAAUUAUAUAUAUAUAUAAUUUAUUUUUAUUAAUUUAUAUAAUAUAUAAAAUAUGUAAUAAUUUUUAUUUCUUAGAUCUUAAUCCAAUGGUAUAGAUUUUUAAAACCCACCGUGUUCGGGUGCGGGUUUGGGUUUCGGGUUUUUGGUUGGGUACGGAUAUGGGUAUGGAUUUUUAAAACCCGCCGGGUUCGGGUUUUAAUUUGGUUUUCGGGUUCGGGUUCGGGUUCGGAUUCGGAUUUUUGAAAAUCUGA